ensembl:lncRNA
AGGGAAUUGAGUUCCAGGGCCAGCGGGGAGGGUGGCUGGUGUCCCAGGGCGGGUUUCUCACCAUUUGGCACCCGGGGGACAGGGACCCCUCCCAUCUGUGGAUUCCUGGGGAGGAGAGGCAGAGUCACGCUGGGAUAUUAGGCCUUGGGGAAUGUGCCUUGGCCAAGGGGAACUCAUUUUAAGGUUCUGAAGUCAUCGCUAGAGCAAUGUGCCCUGUCUCCAUGAGCUCUGGAGGAAAUGCCUGGCUCCAGCUUUAUUUAGGUCACACCACAGAGCAGCUGUGAAAGCCAGGUGUGAGGUCAUCAGCAGCCCCGCCAAGGCCAGGUUUAUAGCCAGAUGGUGGGCCACUUGGUGGCGGGCUGCCCGGCCUGGCGAUUGCCCUUGGAAAUCCUUUGCACAGGGUGAGGGGAAAGCAGCCGAUUGCCCUCUUUCUUAUGGGACAAGGGAACGGCUGAUGGGCCUGAGCUCCUGCCUAAGCAAUCUAAGUGACUACACAGGUUCUGCGACUCCUUUUCAUGGGCGAGGCCAGACAGAGUAGAAAGUGGCAAGAAUUUGUGCAGGGAACCUGUGUCUCUCAUCUUCUGUUCAUUGCUCCCUGGGCGAAGUAACCUCAAGUCAAACUUCUGUCCUUCUUAUUGCUGUUCUUUUCUUUUCCUCUUUCUCCCCCCACAGCAAGCAUACCUGAAACCAAUCUUUCUCAAACAUCAGUGGGCGCAGGGAGGACCCACAGGUGUUGAGACCAGCAGCACCUCUCUCUUGCCACCUGCCAGGCGAGCCUGCUGUCACUGGCUGGGAUGCACCAGAGGAGCCAGGUGUCUGCGAUGGCUCGUGCUGUUCUCCCCAGGUGCUGGGGACACGUACCGGUCAGCACAGAGCCACGGCCUCCCUGGCCUGGUGACACAGGCAUCAGCAGGCAAACCCACAAAGCCGGCCGAGGAUGACGUCCUCACAUGGCUGCCCCUGGGGAACAGGCGGAGGUGGCGACCUGUGUCCAGGUGUGCGCUGCAUGAGGAGGCAUCACCCGGCACCUGCAUCUGCAUCGCUGAGAAGGUAGCAGCCGAGGAGCCCGUCUUGGACCUGGUGUUAGAGGCUGCUUUUGUGUUAAAGGCAGAUUUCUGGCCACACUUCUCUAAGUGAAAAUUUAG